GACGAACGCUGGCGGCGUGCUUAACACAUGCAGGUCGAACGGAAAGGCCCUGAUCUUGUGGGGUGCUCGAGUGGCGAACGGGUGAGUAACACGUGAGUAACCUGCCCUUGACUUUGGGAUAACUUCAGGAAACUGGGGCUAAUACCCGAUAGAAUCUCCUGCUGCAUGGUGGGGGUUGGAAAGUUUCGGCGGUUGGGGAUGGACUGGCGGGUUAUCAGCUUGUUGGUGGGGUAGUGGCUUACCAAGGCUUUGAGGGGUAGCCGGCCUGAGCGGGUGACCGGCGACAAUAGUACUGCGAGACGGCGCAGACUCGUAUCGGAGGCAGCAGGGGGGAAUAUGGCGGAGUGGGGGGAAGUGAGAUGUAGCAACGCCGCGUGCGGGAUGACGGGCUUCGGGGGAUAAACAGCUUUCGCCGGUGACAAGGAGUGAGUGACGGUAAUGGGUAAAGAAGCACCGGCUAACUACGUG
rnacentral:rRNA from 1 species